CAGCAGUAGCCGCGGGAAUACGGAGGGAGCUAGCGUUGUUCGGAAUUACUGGGCGUAAAGCGCGCGUAGGCGGUUACUCAAGUCAGAGGUGAAAGCCCGGGGCUCAACCCCGGAACUGCCUUUGAAACUAGGUGACUAGAAUCUUGGAGAGGUCAGUGGAAUUCCGAGUGUAGAGGUGAAAUUCGUAGAUAUUCGGAAGAACACCAGUGGCGAAGGCGACUGACUGGACAAGUAUUGACGCUGAGGUGCGAAAGCGUGGGGAGCAAACAGGAUUAGAGACCCCGGUAGUCCCUGUCUCUUAUAC
rnacentral:rRNA from 1 species